rnacentral:rRNA from 2 species
GAGUUUGAUCCUGGCUCAGAACGAACGCUGGCGGCAGGCCUAACACAUGCAAGUCGAACGCCCCUUCGGGGGAGUGGCGCACGGGUGAGUAACACGUGGGAACCUACCUUGGAGUACGGAACAACUCAGGGAAACUUGAGCUAAUUCCGUAUACGCCCUACGGGGGAAAGAUUUAUCGCUCUGAGAUGGGCCCGCGCCGGAUUAGCUAGUUGGUGAGGUAAUGGCUCACCAAGGCGACGAUCCGUAGCUGGUCUGAGAGGAUGAUCAGCCACACUGGAACUGAGACACGGUCCAGACUCCUACGGGAGGCAGCAGUGGGGAAUAUUGGACAAUGGGGGAAACCCUGAUCCAGCCAUGCCGCGUGAGUGAAGAAGGCCUUAGGGUUGUAAAGCUCUUUCAGCAGUGAAGAUGAUGACGGUAACUGCAGAAGAAGCCCCGGCUAACUCCGUGCCAGCAGCCGCGGUAAUAAGGGCGA